AUUGAACGCUGGCGGCAGGCCUAACACAUGCAAGUCGAACGAGUGGCGGACGGGUGAGUAAUGUCUGGGAAACUGCCCGAUGGAGGGGGAUAACUACUGGAAACGGUAGCUAAUACCGCAUACCAUCGGAUGAGCCCAGAUGGGAUUAGCUAGUGGGGGGGGUAACGGCUCACCUAGGCGAAGAACCCCAGCUGGUCACAGAGGAUGACCAGCAAGACUGGGACGGAGAUACGGUCCCGAUUCCUACGGGAGGCGGCAGUGGGGAAUAUUGCACAAUGGGCGCAAGCCUGAUGAAGCCAUGCCGCGUGUAUGAAGAAGGCCUUCGGGUUGUAAUGUACUUUCAGCGAGAAGGCGUUACUCGCAGAGGAAGCAUCGGCUAACUCCGUGCCAGCAGCCGCGGUAAUAC
rnacentral:rRNA from 1 species